GCUUGUUUGAUAAUACGAUCAAACUAAUAUCAACUAUUUUGCUCCACCCAAUGCAUUCCAUUCACACUAAUUAUUAUUAUUGAUAUUUUUAGGACAAUGGAUAUCACCGACUGUCACUGGAGACAGACCACCUCCUAUUCAUCAAUUCACUUUAACAUCAAUUAAUAAUUCCAGUGCUAUAUUAUUUGGAGGUAACACUGCUAAUGGAAGUAGUAACAAUGUAUAUAUUCUUAAUUUUACUGAUACAUCAGUGAAUUGUUCAAAAUUAUCUAUUCCUAGAGGAUCAGUGCAAUGGCCUAAGGAAAGACGUGGUCAUUCCAGUGUGUUGAUUAACACUAGCUCAGGACCACACCUACUAGUGGUGGGUGGUACUACUAGAGAUAGUUGGAUAUUUGAUAUUAACAAUAAAUUAUGGAAGAAACUGGUUAAUUUACCAGUCAAUGUCACUAAUAGAUGUUGGCAUUCUCUCUCAGCCUGGAGUGUGACUCCAACCACUAACUGGAUAAUUGUGUUUGGAGGAAUCACGUCAUACACUGAUACAGCAGUUAUUG